AGAGUUUGAUCCUGGCUCAGAACGAACGCUGGCGGCGUGCCUAACACAUGCAAGUCGAACGGAAGUAAGAAGCUUGCUUUUUACUUUAGUGGCGCACGGGUGAGUAACGCGUGGAUAAUCUGCCUGAYGMUCUGGGAUAACAUCUCGAAAGGGGUGCUAAUACCGGAUAAGCCCACGGGRWCUUCGGWUCUUGCGGGAAAAGGRGGGGACCUUCGGGCCUUCYGWCRUYAGAUGAGUCCGCGUMCCAUUAGCUAGUUGGURGKGUAAWGGMCYACCAAGGCKACGAUGGKUAGCUGGUYUGAGAGRAUGAUCAGCCACACUGGAACUGAGACACGGUCCAGACUCCUACGGGAGGCAGCAGUGGGGAAUUUUGGACAAUGGGCGCAAGCCUGAUCCAGCCAUGCCGCGUGAGUGAAGAAGGCCUUCGGGUUGUAAAGCUCUUUCGGUGGGGAAGAAAUUGCUUMGGMUAAUACCCKGAGUAGAUGACGGUACCCGCAUAAGAAGCACCGGCUAACUACGUGCCAGCAGCCGCGGUAAUACGUAGGGUGCGAGCGUUAAUCGGAAUUACUGGGCGUAAAGCGUGCGCAGGCGGUUGUAUAAGUCAGAUGUGAAAUCCCCGGGCUCAACCUGGGAACUGCAUUUGAGACUGUACGGCUAGAGUGUGGCAGAGGGGGGUGGAAUUCCACGUGUAGCAGUGAAAUGCGUAGAGAUGUGGAGGAACACCGAUGGCGAAGGCAGCCCCCUGGGCCAAUACUGACGCUCAUGCACGAAAGCGUGGGGAGCAAACAGGAUUAGAUACCCUGGUAGUCC
rnacentral:rRNA from 1 species